GCCCGGGAACUCCCUAACCGGCCCGGCUCCGCGUCCCUCCGGGUCCUAGCGCUUGCGCGCCUGCGCGAGCUCUAACUGCGAGGGGCUGCCAGGGGAGGCGCGGGACGCUGCGGAGGCGACCUACGUAAAAGCUGGAAGGGACUGGCCCGCAGCCUCCACCAAGGGCGGGGGGACAGCCAUUCCCCACUGCCGAAACAGAAAACCGGGGCGCUGAUCUGGAUAAUUCUAAGCAGGAUAGGAGGAAACCUCCUUCUGUACAGUUAAAGUAACCCAGAAAGCUCGUGAUACUUUUCGAUUGGCGAAAGGCAGAGAUGGGAUGCUUUUCUGGCUUCCCCCAUGUCAGUGGGGCUGAGGACCUGAUUUCCGACAAACCUCUAAAAUCAGGCCGGCCAAAGAAUGUAGAAGGGGAGAAGGGAAAGGUCUUCUUCUCCUGCACAAGGUCACACAACUAGCACGUGACAGACCUGGGAUUGGAACCUGGCUCCAGAGGCCACACUUGUAUCCACUCUGCUACACCAGCUCAUGUGAAGGUGCCUCAUUUGGAUUCUAGUAGGAUGAGCUCGAGAGGCACUGGCUCCCUUGGGACCCACGAGAAGCUUUUAGCUACAGAAUAUACUCAAAUAGAUAUUUUUUUGUCUCACUUUCUUCAUCCGGAAAAUAAGAGUAAUAAAUAUUGCCUACCCCUGAGGACGAAACACGGAGCUUGUUUGGGAUAGGGCCCGCCCCGGCACAAACUGGAGAGCUCUGAGGGGCCAUUCAAAGUCAACAUUUUAAAAGUUAGGGUGGGCAAAUUCAGCCCUCAGGCUGUCAGUUUACUCCCUCAGAUUUAAUGAGCUGCUAUAUGCCGGGUACCUAAUUGGUACUUUAGAUAAAUUUUCUAAUGUCACCCUUCCAACACGCUGGGAGCUCAGUCACUUCCUGCUCAUUUGACCACAGUCAACAUGGCACUGCCCAGCCAGCACGGAGCCAGGAUCCACACCCAGACACUGAGACUCGAAAACCCAUGACCUCUCCCCGUCUCUGCCCUGCUUGUUGACAGCUGAAGGAAUCAACCUUUUUGGUGACAUGAAUUAACAUCAUCCAGCUGUCCAAAGGUAGACGUUAAUCAAAACGGUGAUGUCCUUUUGUUGGUUUGAAUCAACAAACGAGCCACUUGCUUUUCAAGGCUGCCUGCUAAUUCAGAAGAGCAAAGUCCGGUCAUCUGCACAACAGAGGUGUGACUGAUUUGCUGGGCAGGGUGGCAGACAGCUAAUAUACCUAAAACUUUGUCGUUAUUGAAAUCUAGGUUUGAAAGGAGAGGGUUCGAGGCACGGCCCUGUUAUACUCUAUUUAAAACUUAAACGCGAGUUCGUUAAAAUGAGUAAGUUCAUCAUCUACCGAUGAAUAAGAGAAAUCUUCAUCCUUAGGAAGCACACAGUCCAUUGGGGUAGGUAGGGAGAUAAUUUUUAUAGGAAAAAAAAAAAAAAAAACUGAGAAAAUGAAGAACCAAGUGCUGUCAGCUCCCAGGGGGGUUGGGACGGGCUCUGCCUGCAGGAGGGAUAGGCUGAGGACAGCUUCACAUCGGGAACAAUAGGAUGAAGUCGGGAGAGGGCGUGGGAUGCAGUGGUCCCCAGGCAGAGGGUGAGAUGCGUGCCAGGACCUUGAAAGAGGAUGGAACGUGUCUGAGGCUGCACCACGGGGUGUGUUGCGGGGAGUUUGUACCGAUGAGGGGUAUGUUAAGGGGACGCACAGAGACACCAGCAAAAGUUCUGGUCUCUGGGAUCUUAGGACCUCUACUGUCGUAUCCGUCAAAAAUUAAUGCUAAGAUCAGCCUACCCUAAAACCUCUUCCUGUUCUCCAUCCUGUCCAUUUGGAUUCCAGUCCUGCAAUUUGUUGAGACUAAACGAGGCAGGGAAUUUCAAGGAGGCGUCAAACUAACAGGUCUAGACCUGGGGAGAUAACCGUGACUUCCGGUGAGCACAGAAGUAAACAGGAAUAUUUUCUUUGGUACUCGGCUCCUGGCUAAGCAGGGCCUGAUUAGAGGGGACUCUCCAGAUGCCCAGGAGGGUGACGCGAUCAUCCCAGCUGUUUCAAGAAAGUUCAAAAGUUUCUGAGCUUACCUUGAGGAGACGCCUUUUCUGGUGCGUUCAUGAGCCACCUCUUCUGUGACAGGAGGACAGAGAAAGAUCGAGCCAUAAAGUUCAGAACACACUGACAACCUCUCAUACAGACGUGACCCAUCUGUCCACACAGUAUUCGGCAACGUAUCUCUGACUUGUGUUUUUGAGUCAACACAUAUCUGUCAAGCACCUCCUACCUGUGAAGGCUGACUGUGGUAGACACUUAAGGAGCAAGAGUCCUGCCCUCAAAAAGUCUGUCCUCUGACCGAGAGAAGACAUGUACACGAGUGACUUUAGACAAGUGCCAAUCACGUGACCGACGCUGUUAUAAGCGUUCAGAAAAGAGAGUGAUUGUUUCUUCUUUAGGCAGCAGAAAUGCUACCACAUGCUAGAGAAUGAGGUCACCUGACCCGAAGGGAAAAGCUGGAAAACCUUAGUGAUUUAACUGUCUUUUAAGAACAGAUAACAUCGAUAAUGAUAGUCGAUACUAUUUUGAUAAGUGUACAUGGUGACAGACGAUUACUAGAAUUAGUGAGGUGGGAAAAAAAAGCAAAAAAAAAAAAAAAUUGUUAAAAAAAAAAAAGAACGGAUACACCUGUUUUUGUCUCCUUCCUGGCUUUCCAGCUUCGUCUCAUUCAUUCGCUGUGUUCCCAUCACACUCGCCAUUUUUUUUUUAAAUGCCAGCAAGCCCCACGCUAUAGCCCUGAGCAUCCGCACUGGCCAUUCCUCCUCCCUGCAACACUCUCAGCCCUUCACGUGACGGGCCUCAACUACCUGUCACCUCACCAGGGACACCUGCCCCGACUCCUGAUGCCCUCGUCUCAGUAGAAGCUCCAUGAGAGCUGGAGCCUCGUCCGUCUGUAAAGCUCUGUCCCCAACACCUCGGAGAGAACAGUAAGUGCUCAAUAAAUACUUGUCACCGCAUCAACUCAAACUGAGAAACACCUGCACGUGUAAGUGUGUCUAAUUCCAGAGCGAAUAAAAAUAAAAGAAUUGUGAACAUAGGAGUGUUUAACUAGUCAACACGAUCAAUCUGAAGCUUCCCGAAGCAUUCACGGAUACUCUGCCUCGUGCAGCUUGUUCUCCAUUUUCAACAUUUGCUCAGCUCAGAGAAAGUUCAUCAGGAAAGAAAAAAAGUAACAUCCUCUGGACCCAAAAAAGUCUCCAGUACCUAUGUCUAACUUCCCCAGUCAUAACCGAUUUUCUUUAUUGUGUUUUUAGGGUUUUCCCUGUGGAGACAACUACUUCCGUCACCCUUGCCUCGCCCUAUUACCUACUUCUCGAUUUUUUUUCAGGGGAGAUUUUUCUCUGUGCUUUAGGAGCAUUUAACCAUAUGUUGGGGGUCGGUAUUGUAAAAAUUGGGCUCUAACGUGUGAUUUUUACUGUCAGAUUGACGUCUUAGCACCCAGCAGGCUGGCCUCCUCGCCACCUGACCUUCAUUCCCCUACCUGGGGCACCUGGUGGGGGGCGGUGUGCCAACCGGGGGCUUUCCCUAUAAUAUUCAAGCUCAGUCAUCAGAUAAAGGAAACAGGCAUGGUUUCCACUUCAUUCUUAAAAAAAAAAAAAAAAUUAAAAUAGCCAAACAAAAUUUCCAAAAUAUAUUUAGCAUAAACCCC